AUACGGAGGAUCCGAGCGUUAUCCGGAUUUAUUGGGUUUAAAGGGAGCGUAGGUGGAUUGUUAAGUCAGUUGUGAAAGUUUGCGGCUCAACCGUAAAAUUGCAGUUGAAACUGGCAGUCUUGAGUGCAGUAGAGGUGGGCGGAAUUCGUGGUGUAGCGGUGAAAUGCUUAGAUAUCACGAAGAACUCCGAUUGCGAAGGCAGCUCACUAGACUGUUACUGACACUGAUGCUCGAAAGUGUGGGUAUCAAACAGGAUUAGAUACCCUGGUAGUCCACACAGUAAACGAUGAAUACUCGCUGUUUGCGAUAUACAGUAAGCGGCCAAGCGAAAGCAUUAAGUAUUCCACCUGGGGAGUACGCCGGCAACGGUGAAACUCAAAUGAAUUGACGGGG
rnacentral:rRNA from 1 species